GGAUGUGAGGGCAGUCUGGCUGUAAAUGUGUCACCCAUGAAUUGCCAGGAUUGAUUCAGCCGAUCUAGCUGACUAAGCGGGUGUCCCUUUGAACCUCUCCACUCCAUGUGCAUCCUGUUGAUGCUGAGCUGACCUUUCCCAAUAGGAGGACUACUGGUCUUCCUUCAAGGGAAUGCAGCAAGGAAGUUGCACUCCCUGCUCCAACCUCCAAACAAGCUCCCCCAGUGUCCAGGCCCCUCAGCUUAGAUGGAGCCACAGGGAAGAGGAAGUCCUGGGAGGGCUGGGUUAGCAUCUCCACCCACUAGACCCCACCCGGUGUCUUGACCA
rnacentral:snRNA from 1 species